rnacentral:lncRNA from 1 species
GGGAGAGGUGCGCGGCUUCUUGCUCCUCAGGAGGGCUGGCAAAGUUCACCGGGUUAUAAAGGAAGAUGGAGGCUGAGAGUGGAGGUCCUGAGUGAACACCAUCCCGCCUUUGUGCUGCCUUCACAGCCACACGAAGAUGAAAGUGUCUUAGGAUAUACCCUGGAGCUAUGCCAAACUGCUGGAUUGAAGGUUAUCAGUGCCCUGGAAAGCUCCCAGUGCAAAUGGAAAACUGUGAUACCCUGCAAUCCCUCCUCCCGCUGUACCCCUAAAGCCAAGAGGGGUUCUGAGCAGCACAAUGCUCAGACCAGACCAGUGUAGGAGAGAUUCCUCCCAUCAACAUCCUCAAAACUAUCUCAGCUGAAACUCUAGUGGGAUUUUUUUUUUCUGUUUGAAAUGAUGGUUUCCCUGAGGUCAAGUGGAAAAGCCAUCUUCAGAAACAGGUCUAUUUAGAUCCACUCAUAUUCUACAGAAUUCAUGUGGUCUCUUCAAAGCAUCCCAGGCUCAGUGCACAAACACUGCUGUGACCACUACUGACCCCUGUGGCGGCGGCUGCUGGCUGCUGCUGCUGCUGCGUAAUCAGGGACAUCAGCAAAGUGAGAGAGCAGGGUGAACUGUGACCUUGUAUUAAAAUGACCCAAUGGCUCCUCAUGUGGAUGUGGUGACACUUUGCCUUGAAGAGUGGACAGGUGGCCACAUCUGCAAUAUUUCCUUUGCUGACACCUCCUCUGAAAUCCCCACUAACCAGCCCCUGGUUGCUCAGAAGUCACUAACACCACAGAUCCGCUCAGUGCCUGCUGUCUGCCUGGUUUGAUGAAAAGUCUAUAGCGAGAGUCAAAAUAGACCUGCUGUUUUUAAAGUGAUGCAUAAUCCUGUACACCAUGAUGUGUGUUUCCCUAAGAUGGAAACCACAAAGCGGCAGGGGCACAGCCCACAGCCAAGCCACCUGUCAAGGUCACCCUGGCAGAGAUAACUCCGACACCCUUCUUUUAGAAUGAGAUACAGAAACUAUAACUAUACAAAGACAACUAGGGACAAU